ACGCACGCUGGCGGCGUGCCUAAUACAUGCAAGUAGCACGCUGAAGGAGGAGCUUGCUCUUCUGGAUGAGUUGCGAACGGGUGAGUAACGCGUAGGUAACCUGCCUGGUAGCGGGGGAUAACUAUUGGAAACGAUAGCUAAUACCGCAUAACAGUAGAUGUUGCAUGACAUUUGCUUAAAAGGUGCAAUUGCAUCACUACCAGAUGGACCUGUGUUGUAUUAGCUAGUUGGUGGGGUAACGGCUCACCAAGGCGACGAUACAUAGCCGACCUGAGAGGGUGAUCGGCCACACUGGGACUGAGACACGGCCCAGACUCCUACGGGAGGCAGCAGUAGGGAAUCUUCGGCAAUGGACGGAAGUCUGACCGAGCAACGCCGCGUGAGUGAAGAAGGUUUUCGGAUCGUAAAGCUCUGUUGUAAGAGAAGAACGAGUGUGAGAGUGGAAAGUUCACACUGUGACGGUAUCUUACCAGAAAGGGACGGCUAACUACGUG
rnacentral:rRNA from 1 species